rnacentral:rRNA from 1 species
UACAGAGGUGGCAAGCGUUGCUCGGUAUCACUGGGCUUAAAGGGCGCGUAGGCGGUGCGGUACGGUUUCGGUGAAAUCCCUCGGCCCAACCGAGGAACAGCCGGAGCUACGGCCGGACUAGACGGCAUCAGGGGACAGUGGAACCCCCGGUGGAGCGGUGAAAUGCGUAGAUAUCGGGAGGAACGCCGGUGGCGAAAGCGACUGUCUGGGGUGCCUGUGACGCUGAGGCGCGAAAGCCAGGGGAUCAAACGGG